CGCGGGGUAGAGCAGUUUGGUAGCUCGUCGGGCUCAUUCCCCGAAGGUCGCAAGUUCAAAUCUUGCCCCUGCAACCA
rnacentral:tRNA from 1 species